UCACUGUUUUUGGUUAAGGGCACUCUUAGUUUUAAUUGCCUUAAAAAUAAUAAGUAUAAUAAUAAUUUAAAUCUCCCGCUCUUUCAUAGUUCGUACCUGUAGCCAAGUAGAGGGCGCUAAAAGCGCAAUCUCCCAACAUUUUACCACGCGAUUCACCACUCUCUAAACUAUUAACUUUCUCUAUGAGUAUACCUAUAUAUGAUCGGGAUCAUAUACUAAUAAAAAACAGGAAAAUUGUUCAAUACUAUUGAACAUCUCUAAUUUCCAUUUGACAACUGUUGACAUUGAUUUGACAGCAGAAUUAACCUUCUGCAUUGAUUUGAUUUUGAUAUGAAUAUUUUUGUAAACAAUUAGAUUAUAUCAAAAAAAGUAGUCUGAAAAGUAGUUUAAAAUGUACCAGAACGCGUGUGGGGCGGCUGCGGCUAGCGCGGGCGGCUGUGUAGAGACCGAAAAAGAAUAUCAAAAUUUAAUAUCUAAAGAGCCCCAUGUUCCAGCAAUUGAACACGAUUAUAGCGGAUUUGAUAUUGUCAAAGCGACUCAGUAUGGAGCAUUUGGUAGAGUAAAGGAACUCGUAGAUGCAGGGUAUGAUGUGAAUCUAAAAGAUAGUGAAACUGUAACAUUAUUACACUGGGCUGCUAUUAAUAAUCGUAAAGAGAUUAUGAAAUUUCUUAUAGACAAAGGUGCUACAGUAGAUGCAAUUGGAGGAGAACUACAUGCUACUCCAUUACAUUGGGCAACUAGACAAGGACAUUUAGAGGCUUGUGUUAUAUUAAUGAGUGUAGGUGCAGACCCAACCCUAAGAGAUGCUGAAGGGUGUUCCUGCAUUCAUUUGGCUGCUCAAUUUGGGCAUACCGCUUUAGUGGCAUAUUUUGUGGCAAGAGGUGUUAGUCCAGACCUUACAGACAGAACCGGGAUGACACCCUUAAUGUGGGCAGUAUGGAAAGUUUCCAAUCUUGACCCUACACGUUUGUUGCUCACGUUAGGAGCUAACCCUAAUUUAGCUGACCUCACUCAAGGAAAUACUGCACUACACUGGGCUAUUUUAUCUAGGAAUACCACUGCAAUAUCUACACUUAUAUUACAAGGGCAUGCUAAUUUAAAUAUUCCUAACAAUAAAGGGGAGUCGCCGUUACAAAUGAUACAGUCUCAAGUGGGAUCUAUUUGGAUAAGCCCUAAGGUUUUAGAUCUUAUUAAAGAACAUUCCCAUCACACCUCCAAAAAUUUUGUUACUAGUUGUGCUAGAGAUAAAAGGAUCAGAUGGUGGGGAAUGGUGGGCACUCCGUUUAUGGCAUUUUACAUUGCUGGAGCAAUAAUGGGCACAAAUUUGCUUUUAAUUAUAAAAAUAUUUCUUUUAGUCUGUUUAUAUAUAGUUAUACACUAUUUAGGUCAAAUAUUUUACGAUGAUCGUCUUAUGGCACUGUUGCCUUUAAGCAUAUAUUUAUCAACGAAAAUGUGGUUUUAUUUUACGUGGUUUAUUUAUAUUACGCCAGUAACCAAUAUGCUUACAACGAUAGUAUUUGUUUCUAGUUCCGUUCUACUUUGGUAUAAUUUUCUGAAAAGUUGGUUAGGAGAUGCUGGAGUUGUACCAACCAACAAAAAAUUGCAGUUUCAAACUAUUUUGGAAUUAUCUGAAAAAGGUCAUGGAGGUUUUGAGCCGUCGACUUUCUGCUCUACGUGUUUGGUAAGAAGGCCUGUGAGAUCGAAACAUUGCGCCGUGUGCAAUCACUGCAUUGCAAAAUUUGAUCAUCAUUGUCCUUGGGUUGCUAACUGCAUAGGUGCAAAAAAUCACAAAUAUUUCAUUGGUUUCUUGGCUUGUUUGGUAAUAAUGUGUGCCGAGAUGCUUUAUGGAUCUAUUAAAUAUUGGCAGAAUGAUCCUAUGUGUAACGCCUUGAAACAUGACAAGGAAAAAGGUUUUUGGAACACCAUUGUCGCCCUGGGACAAUGCGACACUUGGGUUGCUUGGGUUUCAGUAAAUGCAGUUUUCCAUGGUAUAUGGGUGUGUGUUCUACUCAUUUGCCAACUUUAUCAGAUUGUUUUUCUGGGAAUGACAACGAACGAACGCAUGAAUAAGAGUCGAUAUGGCCAUUUCUUGGCGAACCAUGGUAAGAGUCCCUUCUCCAAAGGAGCCCUACGCAACGCUUUGGAGUUCUUCGAGUGUAAUUGUUUUAACUGUAUCAAGAUCGAUAAAAAUGACUGGCUCAACAGUUACAAUUUCGAUAAGAACAUCGAACGAGAACCGCUACUAUGUAGCAAAGAGAAUUUUCAGUACGUAUGAGGAAAGGUUUAUGUUCCUAGGAGAAGGUUAAGUUUUUGAUUGUCUGCAUACAGGGUCGUGAUGUCGUGAACAUAAUGAACGAGGAUUAAUGCAUACUUUUUGUGAAAAUUGUGGAUAUGAAAGUAAACACCAAAGAUAUAAGGAACACUAGUAUUUAAAGUCAAUUUUAGCUAUCACAACAACAUAAUAUCAAACUUAUAUUGUUUCUGCUAACUUUUGUAGGUAAAUUUUUUUUUAAUUAAUUCUGAAGUAAAAAAUCGUAAUAAAUAAAUAUUUCAGAAUUACUAAUUAUUUAAAAGGGAAUGAAUAAUGCAUUCUAAUUUUCAUUAAGGCACCGUCAAAACAUUCCACUUGAUGUUGUAGAGAUAAGUAAAAAAGAAUUAUUGUUUUAGAUGUAAGUAUAUUGUUUAAGCGUAUUCGCCUGUCCAUGGUACAAAGAAUACAAGGUAUGAUAUUGCGCAGGUUGGUCGCUACGUCACGGGUGAUAAAAGGCGCUAUUGGUCAGCACGCUCCGCG